UCAAUCGGGAUGACUGUACCAAAAGAAAGACCGCACGCAUUAAUUUAAGUAAUAUGCCGUAAACGGCAAACCCUGCUAUAACAACAGAACCCAUCUCGGGAUGUACCUCGACAUUAAUGCGAUUAGCACGCGUCAUUCAGCGGCGCCGCCGCGAAUUCCGCGCGUGACGCUUCUGUGAAUGUACAUAGAAGAUUGAAUAUAUACGACGUUGGUUCGAUUCUCCAUGCCCACGCACGAGGCCGCGGGAUCGAAUCCCGGCCACGGCGACUGCAUUUCGAUGGGGGUGAAAUGCAAAAACACCUGUGUACUUGGAUUUAGGUGCAGUUUAAAGAACCCCAGUCUGACAGCCAUUGCCAAGAUGUGCCAUCGCCCCACAAGCGACUGCCAGAGCGGGUACUGGUACCACAGCCAUUGCCGCCACAAAAACCACUCCUGCUUCCACAGCUCCACGAGCAACUCCCAGAGAAGAUGCCGGUGCCAUAGCCAACGCUGCCACAGCAACCAUUCCUGCUUCCACAGCAACAACCGGACAUAGUUUCCGAUGCUGUUGAUGCAGAAGACACCAGCCAGGUGCACCUUGGCAAAGGAGCAGUGGACGUGCCUGUUGUCAUGCCCAAAAAACUUCUUGUUUUGCAAGGAAGCCACAAAGCUCUGGUGGCUUAUCCCUAACUUGAGGAAUAGGAGCCUCAGAGGAGCAGUUUGACGACGCUUCGUCAAGCAGGAUAAGCAGGCACCACCAAGAAAGGCACUGACACCUGAGAAGCUGCAGGCUAUCGCGAGUAUUUUAAACCUAGCAUAUUUUGCUGUAUUUGUUUGAUAGAUGAGCAACUGACUUAAAUAUUUAAAACUUGCUGCACGUUCCUAUUUCUGAACAGAUGGCUUUGCAGCCUACGUCGAGAACAAAGCGUCGGAAGUGCCAGAAGCAGACCGACUGCAAAAGAUGAACUGAUUUAUCACAGAGAUGAUGGCUAAUUCAAAUAAAUAGUGCUCAGGGGAAAUAAUUUAGGCAUCUUCUAUAUGGUGCACAGUUCUUGGUGCACAACUACACUGUGUUCUGUAUUCAUAAAACACAUGAUGAGAAUGCACAUUGUUGUAUAUCCACGUUUCCCAUAACCCCUCCCCACAUCACCCAUAUGCCUCCACAUCAUCCAUAUGACCCGUAUACCGCUAU